GUUCUUCGUCUCUGGUGCGUUCUUGAACCCCCGUUCCGAUCCAGUCCUGAGCGUUUCGUCUCGAUACGUGUAGUUGUUGAUCUAUGGGGGAAGCUGAGAUCUGGUUUCUUCCAUUAGAUGCGGUCGGAGGAUCUCGUGCCCUCAUUUUGAUCGUCGAAGCCCAAGGACAUGUUCCGUAAGAACGAUUCGGCCUUGUCCUGCUUCUGUCUCUACCUCUUCUUCCUGAAAGAGUGAAGAAGAAUACGGACCACCCUAGCUUUGGAAGGGUGGUUCGAGACCCAGAAGAAGGUCGAGUUGGGUCGAGCGCGGCUGGUCGUGGAGCAGUUCCUUGGCAACAACUUAUAUCUGUAAAUAUAUCUGAGAAAGUCUUUGGUGCUCCUCCUUUGGCAAAUAAAAAAAGAUCACGGAAAAACUUUUCACCGAUGAGAAUAUGGAUGGAUGUGCAGUGUCAUGCAUCUAUCUUGGGUUAUUCAACACCAAUGUAGAAGCUGCAAGGUCCUCUUGAACAUGGAUUAGGGCUUAUGACAAGGCUUCCAUUAAAGUAUGAUGGAAGGGAAGCUGUCACCGAUUUUGAGCCGAGUACCCAUGAAGCAGAACUAUUUCCCCAGGGUGAAACUGAAGGCCAUGCCGUGGAUCUGAAGUUGAGUACUUCCCAAUCUGUUGUCCAUGGUCCAAAGGGGUAUCAAAAUCUCUUGGGCAUCCAGUUUGAAGCUUCUGAUGUCAACAAAACAACGGUCAGAGUGAGAUAGAAGGAGCCUGCGGUUCGUCUGCAAGCUCCUGAAGUCUGGAGUUGGUCAACAACUGGGUCUCCCUCCCAAUUUCCGCUGUUCACUUCUGCAGCAUCAUCAGGAUUCUCGAGGGACGGCUACUCUUUCUCCCCUGCACCACCCCUGCUUCAUUCUCCAUCGUAUAGAUUCACCGAUUCACUGUCUUGGGAAUUCAGAUGAACGGACACCAGAAUCAGUCGGGUGAGGUUUGGAGCAGUCAAGUGAUUCUUCUCUCUGGAAUUUGGGUUUGCCGCUCAAGAUCAGAACAUUCCAUGCUCACCUCGGAGGCCGCAACUCGUCCCUGUCGGUGGAGGAGAUGGCGGAGGAGGUCAUGGAAGACAGCGAGUCACUGGCGAUCUGCCUCUUGACGUCGCCUCUACGUGGGUAGGGGGUUCCUCUCCCGGUCGCCGGAGUCUUGGUGGCUGCCCAUCGAUCUCUCUUUGCAAGACAGCAAAAGCGAGAGCGGAUGGAUGGUGUUCGUGAAUGAGACGAAUGGAGUGGUCACAUAGUACAUGCACCUUCAAAGAGAAAUGGAUUGCACGAUAACAAAAGAUGCAAACGAUGUGGCUGUUUGAGGUCAUCCAAAUGAGGCUGUGAUGAUGAUGCACGCAUUAGUGACAGCCGACAUGCACACAAACUGGGGGAUGAGAUUUGGGGCAGAAGGAACAAAAGGAAAAGUCCCACAGUAUCAUCAUCAUCCAAUUCUGUGCGCACCAACCAUUCCGAACAGAACUAACUGCAUGGUUAAUGAAGAAGGAAGCUGUGGCGAUCCCCUGCCCGGACCUGUUUCUCUUUUCUAUGCACAAGAGGUGUUGCCGUCGUGGAGAUUUGGGUGGAUCGAGAGCCUUGGGUAUGCUGAAUUCGAUGCUAAUCACCCUCGUCGCUGGAAGCGUAGCCGCUCGCCGACGGGGUGGCGUCUGCGGAGAAGGAGCGAUCGCCGUCGAAUUUGUGCUCCUCCCUGUUCUCCAGGGCCUUUGGGAUGAUUGCUCGGAGCAAAUCCCCAAAGAUUCUUGCUUUCACCUGGCCUCGCUUCGGCAGCGGCCUUCCCUUCCUCUUGUUCUCAGGGACUAGCGAUUCCAUUGCCGGAAGAUGGGUGAGCGGAGCAGAGGACUGCAACGAGACCUGCAGCGGGAAAGAAGCUCGAGAAAGAAUAGUUGGCUGGAAUCCGUGAAAAAGUGUCGAUGGAGAGAGGAUCGGAGCUGUCGAUCUCUUAUAUACUGCUGAAGUCUGGCUGUCGGUUGAAGAUGAUCAGCUGCCUUGUGGCGCAAGCUUGCAGCUCGACGUGAGCAAGUGGAGCCUUGAAGCUUCCAAUAGAAGUAGAUGGAGUUUGUCUUAUGCGACAAGUCUCAGUCCAACCCUGUGACUCAUUCGCACAACAAGGUGAUGGAGGUUCGUGUUCUCUACAAGAAACUGCAUCCUCUGUGUGUCAGCCGAUAUGUCAGCUACUUUGACGUAACGAUCGUGGCAGAUCGUCCCCAUCAAACUCGAACCAAUUGAAUCUUGACAAUUUCUUCAAGACUGACUGAAUGAAUGCACUAAUCGACCGCAAUGAAUGCAUCGCCGUCGGUCUCCGGAGACGACUUCUUCAAACGGAGCUCAAAAUUUGACACCUUCUCGACUUCAGCUGUCCGUGGAUGAGUCCACUCAGGAGUUUGCUUCCCGUACGCGAUGAAUCUGCUCACGCACGCACUCUGCUCAUGGACGAGAGACGGCGUGCAAAGCGAGAACGACAUGAUCGAUGAGUAUGCGGAGAAGAAGAGGCCAUCGAGAUUCCACUAUUUUCUGGUCUCGCAUGGUCGUUUGGUGAUUCCAUUUCACGCAUGACACUUUGGGAACUGUACUUGAUGUUCCACAAGGAUCACAUGCUCCUUCCGGUGUCGUCUCUCCCGGCCCGUGAACGAAGAGAGCUAGAAGAUUGCCAUUGCAGCUUGGCAUCGCCCAAUCUUUCUGGUCCACCAAGUCCAAAAUCACAUUAUGGUUGCCCUGUUCCGGGAAACAGGACACCCUGCAAAGGUGGAUGAACUGCUGUCGAAGGAGGUCGUGAUGAGUAAACCAUGGCAUUCCUCCGAGUGCGUGGCCCCUAUGCUUCGACUCCAAGUCAAGCCAGUAAUGAAAGAUCCUUAUGCAGCAGCACC